rnacentral:rRNA from 1 species
CUACCCUGUGGAUGGGAACAAUCUCGGGAAACUGAGGCUAAUUCCCAAUAACGCUCCACCCCUGGAACGGGCGGAGCUGGAAACGCUACGGCGCCACAGGAUGUGGCUGCGGUCGAUUAGGUAGACGGUGGGGUAACGGCCCACCGUGCCAAUAAUCGGUACGGGUUGUGAGAGCAAGAGCCCGGAGACGGAAUCUGAGACAAGAUUCCGGGCCCUACGGGGCGCAGCAGGCGCGAAACCUUUACACUGUACGCAAGUGCGAUAAGGGGACUCCGAGUGUGAAGGCAUAGAGCCUUCACUUUUGUACACCGUAAGGUGGUGUACGAAUAAGGGCUGGGCAAGACCGGUGCCAGCCGCCGCGGUAAUACCGGCAGCCCGAGUGAUGGCCGAUAUUAUUGGGCCUAAAGCGUCCGUAGCUGGCCGGACAAGUCCGUUGGGAAAUCUGUUCGCUUAACGAGCAGGCGUCCAGCGGAAACUGUUCGGCUUGGGACCGGAAGACCUGAGGGGUACGUCCGGGGUAGGAGUGAAAUCCUGUAAUCCUGGACGGACCACCGGUGGCGAAAGCGCCUCAGGAGGACGGAUCCGACAGUGAGGGACGAAAGCUAGGGUCUCGAACCGGAUUAGAUACCCGGGUAGUCCUAGCUGUAAACGAUGCCCGCUAGGUGUGGCGCAGGCUACGAGCCUGCGCUGUGCCGUAGGGAAGCCGAGAAGCGGGCCG